rnacentral:rRNA from 1 species
GAUGAACGCUGGCGGCGUGCCUAAUACAUGCAAGUCGAGCGAACAGACGAGGAGCUUGCUCCUCUGACGUUAGCGGCGGACGGGUGAGUAACACGUGGAUAACCUACCUAUAAGACUGGGAUAACUUCGGGAAACCGGAGCUAAUACCGGAUAAUUUAUUGAACCGCAUGGUUCAAUAGUGAAAGACGGUUUUGCUGUCACUUAUAGAUGGAUCCGCGCCGCAUUAGCUAGUUGGUAAGGUAACGGCUUACCAAGGCAACGAUGCGUAGCCGACCUGAGAGGGUGAUCGGCCACACUAGAACUGAGACACGGUCCAGACUCCUACGGGAGGCAGCAGUAGGGAAUCUUCCGCAAUGGGCGAAAGCCUGACGGAGCAACGCCGCGUGAGUGAUGAAGGUCUUCGGAUCGUAAAACUCUGUUAUUAGGGAAGAACAAAUGUGUAAGUAACUAUGCACGUCUUGACGGUACCUAAUCAGAAAGCCACGGCUAACUACGUG